CUUCUCCCCUACUUCUUCAUCAAGAAAAUCGGCAACCCCUCUCCAAGACUCCAUAGCCAUUUUUCUUCACUAAUUUUCAAUUUACAUUGACGAUGUAAUCGGAUAAUCGGGACAUUCUUGAGUUGGCGAAAAGUGAAGGCGUGAGACUAAGAUAACUGUUAUAUGAAGACGCUUUGGGCUUUCGAGUGGGGAUAGUUUGUUAUCUGAUUGGCUCUUAUCUAUCUGUCUGAUAUACAUUGCUCUUGGGAGCAUCUGACAUAA